CUUCACCUUCUCCAGGUCCAACAGCAGAGACCAUGCCUGUCCUCUCACCUGUGGGGGGAUCCCCUUGUAGACCCGCCGGCGCAUCUGCAGACCCUUGCCAGCAGCCUGGAGAUCCUGUCACAAUGAGAUAAGGAGGAAAAAGAAGGCGGCCAGGAGGCCAAGGCCAGCAGCUGUCCUGCAGCACCGGGGUGUGAGCUCCCUGGGCCAGGGGAGCUGAGGGAAGAGAAGCUGCCAGCUGUGGAGGGCCUCACAGGCUCAUAGGACUCAUAUUUUGCUUAGGCAUCAAAAGCCCAGGGAACAAAAGAUAAACAUUGAUAAAGUGGACUUGAUUAAAUUUAAAACAGCUGUGCCUCAAGUGACAAGUGACACUGUCAAGAAAAUGACAACCCACACAAUGAAUAAAAAUGUGAGACUGACCUGACAGAUAAGAGCCCAGUAUACAGAAUAUGGCCAAACUCCUUAUUCCACUAUAGAAAUGGCCCAAGUAGACAUUGGGCAGAGGGCCUGAAUAGACUUUCCUGCAAAAUCAAGGCCAAAGGGCACAGGAGACCAAUCUCAACAUUAGCAUCAGGGGGAUGCAAAUCAAAGCCAGCAGAGGACCAAACUUUUCACCCACUGGAGUGGCUGUUACUGAUCAAAUGAGGAUGUGGAAAAGCUGGCACCUUCCUGUUUGGCUGGCAGGAUUGUAAAAUGGGGCAAUUUCUUUGGAAAACCAGGCUUUUCUCCAAAAGUUAAAUGAAGAGUUGCCACAUGAUACAACAGGUCCUUUCCCAGGUAUACACCCAAGAGAGAGGAAGACAGGGACACAGAUAGAUGUACAUGCACAUUCAUAGCAGAGCUACUCCCAAGAGCAAAAAGAGGGCCCCAUCUAAGUAGCCCUGGACAGGUGGCUGGAGGACCAGGAUGUGGUGGUACAUCAUUCAACCAGAAAAAGAGGGAAACACUGCCACGUGCUGCAACAUGGAUGGAUAUGAUGCUCAGGAAAGAAAGCAGACAUGGAGACCACAUGCUGUGAAGUUCCAUGGAGGUGCUGUGUCCAGCAGAGCCAAGCCCCGACAGAAAGAGGAAUUCAGGGAAGAUAAUGAUGUGGACUCUAAGCUCCUGGCUUUGACAUGACUCAGGCCAGCGAUGGACCACCCAGGGUUUCCAAGAAAGUACUCAUGUGGACUCUAAGCCCUUGAAGUUUGACUUGACUCAGGCCAGCAAUGUGCCACCCAGGCCUCACCACACUGCCGGAUUUCACCAGGUCCAAGCAUCAAACCAGGAGCUCACUCAGGAGAAAUUCUGCCUGCCAUGAGUAUUCUUAAUCUCUGUUCACAAUCAAGAUUCAAAUUUCUUCAGAUAAAAGGACAUCCAUACUCAACUGGAAAAUUCUCAAAAAAUUGAAAAGUCAUAUUUUUCUGAAAGAAUGACAUAAAUAAAAUUUUCUGCGAGUAUGGAAACAGUUCAUGGUCCAAUGAGGGCGCAUGUAUCUGGCCCUUUUGUGACUUUGAGAUGACAUCCGUGCAUGAAGGACAAGGGAGAAGCCAUCACCACCCAGAAUAUGGCUUGGAUAACUGUCUCCUUGUGUAGGUAACCCAGGAACUGUAUUUAUACAUAAGAUUCUGAACUAGGCUUUUCAUUUUGCAGGAGUUAAUUGGUGGUGUGAGAAUUUAGUUUUCUAAAUGUUCCUCCAUCUGACUCUCAUGAUCAGCCAAGUUAGUUUGUGAUGGCCAAGAUAUGUGGAGAUCAACUCUAUGAUGUAAUACUCUUUUUGAAUACUUUCAUAUUUAAAGAUCUGGAGUAAACUUACCUUCUCUAACAUCAGGUAUACUUAGAAACUAAUUUCAAGUGUAACAAUUUGGGGAUAUUUUUUAAAUUAUUUUUGGCAGAUAUUUCUAAAUUUGGGGGGGAUAUUUUUGGCAGAUAUUUCUAAAUCUCAUGAUAGGUUCAAUUGAGAUGUUCUCUAAGCAGUGCUGGUUAAUCUGAUAAACUCCAGAAGGUGAUGUGGCAUCUAUAGCACUUAACUGAGUGACUUUUUAAUUCUGUAGUAAGGAGGCUGUUACUUCCAUUCUUUUUUGCUGUUGUUGUUCACACCUGAAUUUCAGCAUCCUAUUAUGUUGCUUGGCCAUUUAGAUGUUUUCUCCUUUAAUUGUUUUCUUUACAUGUUUUAUAGAUAAAUAGAUGAUAUAUAGAUAGAUGGAUAGAUAGA